AGAGCGAACGCUGGCGGCAGGCCUAACACAUGCAAGUCGAGCGCCCGUAGCAAUACGGGAGCGGCAGACGGGAUAGUAACACGUGGGAACGCGCCCUUCGGUUCGGAAUAACUCAGGGAAACUUGAGCUAAUACCGAAUACGCCCUUACGGGGAAAGAUUUAUUGCCGAAGGAACGGCCCGCGUCCGAUUAGCUAGUUGGUGAGGUAAUGGCUCACCAAGGCUACGAUCGGUAGCUGGUCUGAGAGGAUGACCAGCAUCACUGGGACUGAGACACGGCCCAGACUCCUACGGGAGGCAGCAGUGGGGAAUAUUGGACAAUGGGCGCAAGCCUGAUCCAGCCAUGCCGCGUGGAUGAUGAAGGCCUUAGGGUUGUAAAGUCCGUUUUAACGGGGAAGAUAAUGACGGUACCCGUAGAAUAAGCCCGCUAACUUCGUGCCAGCAGCCGC
rnacentral:rRNA from 1 species